GAUGAACGCUGGCGGCGUGCUUAACACAUGCAAGUCGAACGGAAAGGCUCCUGCUUGCAGGGGUGCUCGAGUGGCGAACGGGUGAGUAACACGUGGGUGAUCUGCCCUGCACUUCGGGAUAAGCCUGGGAAACUGGGUCUAAUACCGGAUAGGACGAUGGUGUGGAUGCCAUUGUGGAAAGUUUUUCGGUGUGGGAUGAGCUCGCGGCCUAUCAGCUUGUUGGUGGGGUAAUGGCCUACCAAGGCGUCGACGGGUAGCCGGCCUGAGAGGGUGUACGGCCACAUUGGGACUGAGAUACGGCCCAGCCUCCUACGGGAGGCAGCAGUGGGGAAUAUUGCACAAUGGGCGCAAGCCUGAUGCAGCGACGCCGCGUGGGGGAUGACGGCCUUCGGGUUGUAAACUCCUUUCGCUAGGGACGAAGCGCAAGUGACGGUACCUGGAGAAGAAGCACCGGCUAACUACGUG
rnacentral:rRNA from 1 species